CUACGGGUGGCUGCAGUGAGGAAUAUUGCACAAUGGGGGGAACCCUGAUGCAGCAACGCCGCGUGGAGGAUGACGCAUUUCGGUGUGUAAACUCCUUUUAUAUGUCAAGAAAAUGACGGUAGCAUAUGAAUAAGCACCGGCUAACUCCGUGCCAGCAGCCGCGGUAAUACGGAGGGUGCAAGCGUUACUCGGAAUCACUGGGCGUAAAGGACGCGUAGGCGGGUUGGAAAGUCAGGUGUGAAAUCCUACAGCUUAACUGUAGAACUGCACUUGAAACUUCUAAUCUAGAGUAUGGGAGGGGGGAGAUGGAAUUAGUGGUGUAGGGGUAGAAUCCGUAGAUAUCACUAGGAAUACCUAAAGCGAAGGCGAUCUCCUGGAACAUUACUGACGCUAAGGCGUGAAAGCGUGGGGAGCAAACAGGAUUAGAUACCCGCGUAGUC
rnacentral:rRNA from 1 species